rnacentral:rRNA from 1 species
CAGCAGCCACGGUAAUACGGAGGGCGCGAGCGUUACCCGGAUUUACUGGGCGUAAAGGGCGUGUAGGCGGCCUGGGGCGUCCCAUGUGAAAGGCCACGGCUCAACCGUGGAGGAGCGUGGGAUACGCUCAGGCUAGAGGGUGGGAGAGGGUGGUGGAAUUCCCGGAGUAGCGGUGAAAUGCGCAGAUACCGGGAGGAACGCCGAUGGCGAAGGCAGCCACCUGGUCCACUUCUGACGCUGAGGCGCGAAAGCGUGGGGAGCAAACCGGAUUAGAGACCCCCGUAGUCCCUGUCUCUUAUAC